rnacentral:rRNA from 1 species
CUUAACCGCGGAAGUGCCUUUGAAACGGUUGCUCUUGAGUCCCGGAGAGGUUGCCGGAAUUCGUGGUGUAGCGGUGAAAUGCGUAGAUAUCACGAGGAACACCAGAGGCGAAAGCGGGCAACUGGACGGGUACUGACACUGAGGCACGAAAGCGUGGGGAGCAAACAGGAUUAGAUACCCUGGUAGUCCGCGCCGUAAACGAUGGAUGCUCGCCGUUGCCUCGUCAAGGGGCAGUGGCUAAGCUAACGCGUUAAGCAUCCCGCCUGGGGAGUACGAUCGCAAGGUUGAAACUCAAAGGAAUUGACGGGGGCCCGCACAAGCGGUGGAGCAUGUGGCUUAAUUCGAUGCAACGCGAAGAACCUUACCCAGGCUCGAACGCUAGGCGACCGCUCCUGAAAGGGAGCUUUCCGCAAGGACGC